rnacentral:rRNA from 1 species
GACGAACGCUGGCGGCGUGCUUAACACAUGCAAGUCGAACGAUGAACCGGUUUCGGCCGGGGAUUAGUGGCGAACGGGUGAGUAACACGUGGGCAAUCUGCCCUGCACUCUGGGAUAAGCCCGGGAAACUGGGUCUAAUACCGGAUACGACACUCCGAGGCCUCUUGGGGUGUGGAAAGUUCCGGCGGUGCAGGAUGAGCACGCGGCCUAUUAGCUUGUUGGUGGGGUAGUGGCCUACCAAGGCGACGACGGGUAGCUGGCCUGAGGGGGUGACCGGCCACAUUGGGACUGAGAUACGGCCCAGACUCCUACGGGAGGCAGCAGUGGGGAAUAUUGCACAAUGGGCGGAAGCCUGAUGCAGCAACGCCGCGUGAGGGAUGACGGCCUUCGGGUUGUAAACCGCUUUCGCCUGUGACGAAGCGUGAGUGACGGUAAUGGGUAAAGAAGCACCGGCUAACUACGUG